GACGAACGCUGGCGGCGUGCUUAACACAUGCAAGUCGAACGGAAAGGCCCUGCUUGCAGGGUACUCUAGUGGCGAACGGGUGAGUAACACGUGGGUGAUCUGCCCUGCACUUCGAGAUAAGCCUCGGAAACCGGGUCUAAUACCGGAUACGUCCCACUUCCAUCGUGUGGGGUGGGAAGCUUUUUCGGUGUAGGAUGAGCUCGCGGCCCAUCCGCCUGUUGGUGGGGUGAUGGCCUACCAGGGCGGCGACGGGUAGCCGGCCUGGGCGGGUGGACGGCCACAUUGAGACCGGGAUACGGCCCAGGCUCCUACGGGGGGCAGCAGUGGGGAGUAUUGCACAAUGGGCGCAAGCCUGAUGCAGAGACGCCGCGUGGGGGAUGACAGCCUUCGGGUUGUAAACUCCUUUCGCUAGGGACGAAGCUUUUUGUGACGGUACCUAGAUAAGAAGCACCGGCUAACUACGUG
rnacentral:rRNA from 1 species